GUCGAUGUGGCUGAGUGGUUAGGCAUAGGAUCGCAAGUCCUAUUAGAUUGGUUCGAUUCCAGUCAUCGACU
rnacentral:tRNA from 1 species